rnacentral:rRNA from 1 species
UACAGAGGUCUCAAGCGUUGUUCGGAUUCAUUGGGCGUAAAGGGUGCGUAGGCGGCGGGGCAAGUCUGAUGUGAAAUCCCGGGGCUCAACCUCGGAACUGCAUUGGAUACUGCCUUGCUAGAGUACUGGAGGGGAGACUGGAAUUUACGGUGUAGCAGUGAAAUGCGUAGAUAUCGUAAGGAAGACCAGUGGCGAAGGCGAGUCUCUGGACAGUUACUGACGCUGAGGCACGAAGGCCAGGGGAGCAAACGGG